AGUGAACGCUGGCGGCGUGCUUAACACAUGCAAGUCGAACGAGUAAGAGCCGUAGCAAUACGGAGUUCUGCUAGUGGCAGACGGGUGAGUAAUACAUGGGAAUCUACCUUAAAGUCUGGGAUAACUGUUGGAAACGACAGCUAAUACCGGAUAUUGCCGAGAGGUGAAAGAUUUAUUGCUUUAAGAUGAGCCCAUGCAAGAUUAGCUUGUUGGUGGGGUAAUGGCCUACCAAGGCUACGAUCUUUAGCUGGUUUGAGAGGAUGAUCAGCCACACUGGAACUGAGACACGGUCCAGACUCCUACGGGAGGCAGCAGUGGGGAAUAUUGGACAAUGGGCGAAAGCCUGAUCCAGCGACGCCGCGUGAGUGAUGAAGGCCUUCGGGUUGUAAAGCUCUUUUAGUAGGGAAGAUAAUGACGGUACCUACAGAAAAAGCCCCGGCUAACUUCGUGCCAGCAGCCGCGGUAAUACGAAGGGGGCAAGCGUUACUCGGAAUUACUGGGCGUAAAGCGUGCGUAGGCGGCUUGGUAAGUUGGAAGUGAAAGCCUAGGGCUCAACCUUAGAAUUGCUUUCAAAACUGCCUGGCUAGAGUACUAGAGAGGAUAGCGGAAUUCCUAGUGUAGAGGUGAAAUUCGUAGAUAUUAGGAGGAACACCGGAAGCGAAAGCGGCUAUCUGGCUAGACACUGACGCUGUUGCACGAAAGCGUGGGGAGCAAACAGGAUUAGAUACCCUGGUAGUCCACGCAGUAAACGAUGAGUGCUAGAUAUUGGAAUUUAAUUUUCAGUGUCAAAGCUAACGCGUUAAGCACUCCGCCUGGGGAGUACGGUCGCAAGAUUAAAACUCAAAG
rnacentral:rRNA from 1 species